rnacentral:rRNA from 1 species
CCUACGGGAGGCAGCAGUGGGGAAUAUUGCACAAUGGGGGAAACCCUGAUGCAGCGACGCCGCGUGAGUGAAGAAGUAUUUCGGUAUGUAAAGCUCUAUCAGCAGGGAAGAAAAUGACGGUACCUGACUAAGAAGCCCCGGCUAACUACGUGCCAGCAGCCGCGGUAAUACGUAGGGGGCAAGCGUUAUCCGGAUUUACUGGGUGUAAAGGGAGCGUAGACGGCAGCAUAAGUCUGGAGUGAAAGGCCGGGGCUUAACCCCGGAACUGCUUUGGAAACUGUGCAGCUAGAGUGCAGGAGAGGUAGGUGGAAUUCCUGGUGUAGCGGUGAAAUGCGUAGAUAUUAGGAGGAACACCAGUGGCGAAGGCGGCUUGCUGGACUGUAACUGACGUUGAGGCUCGAAAGCGUGGGGAGCAAACAGGAUUAGAUACCCCUGUAGUC